rnacentral:rRNA from 1 species
AGAGUUUGAUCCUGGCUCAGGACGAACGCUGGCGGCGNUGCCUAAUACAUGCAAGACGAGCGAAGGCGUCCGAAAUGAGGCUUCGGCGGAUUUUCGGAUGCACUGAGCGGCGGACGGGUGAGUAACACGUGGGUAACCUGCCCUAUCGCCCGGGAUAACCCUCGGAAACGGGGGCUAAUACCGGAUGCGGUCACGAGGUCGCAUGACGUUGUGACGAAAGGGAUUACUGCGAUAGGAUGGGCCCGCGUCCCAUUAGCUAGUUGGUGGGGUAACGGCCUACCAAGGCGACGAUGGGUAGCCGGCCUGAGAGGGUGGACGGCCACACUGGGACUGAGACACGGCCCAGACUCCUACGGGAGGCAGCAGUAGGGAAUAUUCGGCAAUGGGCGAAAAGCCUGACCGAGCGACGCCGCGUGAGGGAAGAAGGUCUUCGGAUCGUAAACCUCUGUCCUUGGGGACGAAGGUGACGGUACCCAAGGAGGAAGCCCCGGCUAACUACGUG